GACGAACCGUGCGAACGUUAUUCGGAAUCAUUGGGCGUAAAGCGCGUGUAGGCGGCUUUGCAAGUCGGGUGUGAAAUCCCUCAGCUCAACUGAGGAAGUGCGCCCGAAACUGCAGAGCUUGAGUACCGGAGAGGAUGGCGGAAUUCCCCAAGUAGAGGUGAAAUUCGUAGAUAUGGGGAGGAACACCGGUGGCGAAGGCGGCCAUCUGGACGGAUACUGACGCUGAGACGCGAAAGCGUGGGUAGCAAACAGG
rnacentral:rRNA from 1 species